UACGUAGGGUGCGAGCGUUGUCCGGAAUUAUUGGGCGUAAAGAGCUCGUAGGCGGUCCGUCGCGUCGAAUGUGAAAACCCGGGGCUCAACCCCGGGCUUGCAUUCGAUACGGGCGGACUAGAGUUCGGUAGGGGAGACUGGAAUUCCUGGUGUAGCGGUGGAAUGCGCAGAUAUCAGGAGGAACACCGAUGGCGAAGGCAGGUCACUGGGCCGCAACUGACGCUGAGGAGCGAAAGCAUGGGGAGCGAACAGG
rnacentral:rRNA from 1 species